rnacentral:piRNA from 1 species
UAUAGAUGAGGUGGCCUCCCCUAUUAAUUGU